UACGUAGGUGGCAAGCGUUGUCCGGAUUUAUUGGGCGUAAAGCGAGCGCAGGCGGUUUUUUAAGUCUGAUGUGAAAGCCUUCGGCUUAACCGAAGAAGUGCAUUAGAAACUGGGAAACUUGAGUGCAGAAGAGGACAGUGGAACUCCAUGUGUAGCGGUGAAAUGCGUAGAUAUAUGGAAGAACACCAGUGGCGAAGGCGGCUGUCUGGUCUGUAACUGACGCUGAGGCUCGAAAGUAUGGGGAGCGAACAGGAUUAGAUACCCUGGUAGUCCAUACCGUAAACGAUGAAUGCUAAGUGUUGGAGGGUUUCCGCCCUUCAGUGCUGCAGCUAACGCAUUAAGCAUUCCGCCUGGGGAGUACGACCGCAAGGUUGAA
rnacentral:rRNA from 1 species